UGGGGAAUUUUGCGCAAUGGGCGAAAGCCUGACGCAGCAACGCCGCGUGUGUGAUGAAGGUUUUCGGAUCGUAAAGCACUUUCGACCGGGAAGAAACGGCAUUGGCUAACAUCCAAUGCUCUGACGGUACCGGGAGAAGAAGCACCGGCUAACUCUGUGCCAGCAGCCGCGGUAAUACAGAGGGUGCAAGCGUUGUUCGGAAUUAUUGGGCGUAAAGCGCGUGUAGGCGGCUUUGCAAGUCGGGUGUGAAAUCCCUCGGCUCAACCGAGGAAGUGCGCCCGAAACUGCAGAGCUUGAGUACCGGAGAGGAUGGUGGAAUUCCCCAAGUAGAGGUGAAAUUCGUAGAUAUGGGGAGGAACACCGGUGGCGAAGGCGACCAUCUGGACGGAUACUGACGCUGAGACGCGAAAGCGUGGGGAGCAAACAG
rnacentral:rRNA from 1 species